rnacentral:rRNA from 1 species
CCUACGGGAGGCAGCAGUGAGGAAUAUUGGUCAAUGGACGAGAGUCUGAACCAGCCAAGUAGCGUGCAGGAUGACUGCCCUAUGGGUUGUAAACUUCUUUUAUACGGGAAUAAAACGUUCCACGUGUGGGAUUUUGUAUGUACCAUAUGAAUAAGGAUCGGCUAACUCCGUGCCAGCAGCCGCGGUAAUACGGAGGAUCCGAGCGUUAUCCGGAUUUAUUGGGUUUAAAGGGAGCGUAGGUGGAUUGUUAAGUCAGUUGUGAAAGUUUGCGGCUCAACCUUAAAAUUGCAGUUGAAACUGGUAGGCUUGAGUACAGUAGCGGUGGGCGGAAUGCGUGGUGUAGCGGUGAAAUGCUUAGAGAUCACGCAGAACUCCGAUUGCGAAGGCAGUUCACUGGACUGCAACUGACACUGAGGCUCGAAAGCGUGGGUAUCAAACAGGAUUAGAUACCCGAGUAGUC